UAGAGUUUGAUCCUGGCUCAGGAUGAACGCUAGCUACAGGCUUAACACAUGCAAGUCGCGGGGCAGCAUGAAUUUAGCUUGCUAAAUUUGAUGGCGACCGGCGCACGGGUGAGUAACGCGUAUCCAACCUUCCCUUAUCCACGGGAUAGCCCGUCGAAAGGCGGAUUAAUACCGUAUGAGGUCAUUUGAUGGCAUCUGAUUAUGACGAAAGGUUUGGCGGAUAAGGAUGGGGAUGCGUCCGAUUAGCUUGUUGGCGGGGUAACGGCCCACCAAGGCGACGAUCGGUAGGGGUUCUGAGAGGAAGGUCCCCCACAUUGGAACUGAGACACGGUCCAAACUCCUACGGGAGGCAGCAGUGAGGAAUAUUGGUCAAUGGGCGAGAGCCUGAACCAGCCAAGUAGCGUGCAGGACGACGGCCCUAUGGGUUGUAAACUGCUUUUAUGCGGGGAUAAAGUGAGGGAUGCAUCCCUUUUUGCAGGUACCGCAUGAAUAAGGACCGGCUAAUUCCGUGCCAGCAGCCGCGGUAAUACGGAAGGUCCGGGCGUUAUCCGGAUUUAUUGGGUUUAAAGGGAGCGUAGGCUGGAGAUUAAGCGUGUUGUGAAAUGCCGCGGCUCACCCGUGGCACUGCAGCGCGAACUGGUUUCCUUGAGUGCGCUGAAAGUGGGCGGAAUUUGUGGUGUAGCGGUGAAAUGCUUAGAUAUCACAAAGAACUCCGAUUGCGAAGGCCCCUCACGGUAUCGCGACGGACGCUGAAACUCCAAAGUGCGGGUAACCAAAAAGAAUAAAAAACCCUGGUAAUCCCCACGGGAAAACGAAGGGACGCCCCCC
rnacentral:rRNA from 1 species